GACGAACGCUGGCGGCGUGCUUAACACAUGCAAGUCGAACGGAAAGGCCCUGCUUUUGUGGGGUGCUCGAGUGGCGAACGGGUGAGUAACACGUGAGUAACCUGCCCUUGACUUUGGGAUAACUUCAGGAAACUGGGGCUAAUACCGGAUAGGAGCUCCUGCUGCAUGGUGGGGGUUGGAAAGUUUCGGCGGUUGGGGAUGGACUCGCGGCUUAUCAGCUUGUUGGUGGGGUAGUGGCUUACCAAGGCUUUGACGGGUAGCCGGCCUGAGAGGGUGACCGGCCACAUUGGGACUGAGGUACGGACCAGACUCCUACGGGAGGCAGCAGUGGGGAACAUUGCACAAUGGGCGGAAGCCUGAUGCAGCAACGCCGCGUGCGGGAAGACGGCCUUCGGGGUGUAAACCGCUUUCGCCUGUGACGAAGCGUGAGUGACGGUAAUGGGUAAAGAAGCACCGGCUAACUACGUG
rnacentral:rRNA from 1 species